rnacentral:rRNA from 1 species
CCUACGGGGGGCAGCAGUGAGGAAUAUUGGUCAAUGGGCGAGAGCCUGAACCAGCCAAGUCGCGUGAAGGAUGACGGCCCUACGGGUUGUAAACUUCUUUUGUCAGGGAGCAAUUGGGUCCACGCGUGGGCUUAGCGAUAGUACCUGCAGAAAAAGCAUCGGCUAACUCCGUGCCAGCAGCCGCGGUAAUACGGAGGAUGCGAGCGUUAUCCGGUUUUAUUGGGUUUAAAGGGUGCGUAGGCGGAAUAUCAAGUCAGCGGUAAAAAUUCGGGGCUCAACCCCGUCGUGCCGUUGAAACUGAUGGUCUUGAGUGGGCGAGAAGUAGGCGGAAUGCGUGGUGUAGCGGUGAAAUGCAUAGAGAUCACGCAGAACUCCGAUUGCGAAGGCAGCAUACCGGCGCCCAACUGACGCUGAAGCACGAAAGCGUGGGUAUCGAACAGGAUUAGAUACCCGGGUAGUC